UACGAAGGGGGCUAGCGUUGCUCGGAAUCACUGGGCGUAAAGGGUGCGUAGGCGGGUCUUUAAGUCAGGGGUGAAAUCCUGGAGCUCAACGUCCAGAACUGCCUUUGAUACUGAGGAUCUUGAGUUCGGGAGAGGUGAGUGGAACUGGCGAGUGUAGAGGUGAAAUUCGUAGAUAUCGCAAGAACACCAGUGGCGAAGGCGGCUCACUGGCCCGAUACUGACGCUGAGGCACGAAAGCGUGGGGAGCAACAGG
rnacentral:rRNA from 1 species